rnacentral:rRNA from 1 species
UACAAAUCGGGUCCAGGAGCCGGGGUAAUAGUGAGGGGGCAAGGGGUAAUCGGAAUGACUGGGCGUAAAGCGUGCGCAGGCGGCUGAUUAAGUCAGAUGUGAAAUCCCUAGGCUCAACCUAGGAACUGCAUUUGAAACUAAUAAACUAGAGUAUCGUAGAGGGAGGUAGAAUUCCAGGUGUAGCGGUGAAAUGCGUAGAUAUCUGGAGGAAUACCAGUGGCGAAGGCGACCUCCUGGACGAAAACUGACGCUCAAGCACGAAAGCAUGGGGAGCAAACAGGAUUAGAUACCCUAGUAGUC